rnacentral:lncRNA from 1 species
AAGUCGGCAGAAGAUAUGUGCAAAUCGAAGGAAAAGGAAAUUACUAGCAGUUGAAAAAGCAAGUUUUUGUUUUAGCAGAGGCUCAUUUAGAGAUUCAAUUUUUGGCUGAGGAACUAUUUCUUAUAACUUCUGUAAAAGUUGUAAGUUGUAACUGUUUGUCUGAACCUUUACUGAUGCCCUUUUACUUCGGUUUGUGUGUGUUCUUUCAGAUUGAUGACUUGACUAAAAAGUUUAUCAAGUCGGCAGAAGAUAUGUGCAAAUCGAAGAUAUGGUAAAUUUUAUGCUCUGUUUUGUAAAAUUAAAAUUGUUAGAUGGUGCGUGCCUGUCUGCUGAUGUACUAAAC